rnacentral:rRNA from 1 species
UACGGGGGGGGCAAGCGUUGUUCGGAAUUACUGGGCGUAAAGGGCGCGUAGGCGGCCUGCUAAGUCGAACGUGAAAUCCCUGGGCUCAACCCAGGAACUGCGUCCGAUACUGGUUGGCUUGAAUCCGGGAGAGGGAUGUGGAAUUCCAGGUGUAGCGGUGAAAUGCGUAGAUAUCUGGAGGAACACCGGUGGCGAAGGCGACAUCCUGGACCGAUAUUGACGCUGAUGCGCGAAAGCUAGGGGAGCGAACGGG